AUGUAUAUAGCUUCUGAAACACUUUGGAAUGAAAGGUGCUAUGAAAUUGUAAAGUGUUUUUAUCACAGAGUUCUGCCAAUAUGUCUCGAUCCUGACAUGCAACACCUCUGCUAUUUCAGUGUUGUGACGGGGACACAGCUGGUCCUGAGAAGGCAUCAUAUUCAGACAAGCAUGUCAGAUUGCAUUCAUUACUGUGGCUUCCUAUUUCUGGGAUGGCCAAAUGUAUGAAGAAUGGAUUAUUUAACACUUAUAACACAUUUUGAAAACCUAAAUCACAUUGUUGCAACUAGGCAACUGUUGAAAAAGUAAGUACCAGAUUUAUUAGCAGCUAUUUUCACAAAGAUUCCAUUUAAUAAUGUUGGUGUACCCUCUGUAAUUUAUUUGAUUAAUAAUAUUUGAUUUGAACCCAAAUGAUGACUUCUCACAUAUAUGACAGAACUAAUGAACUGUGAAAGAAGAACUGUUCAGAUGGUCACCAAUAACCACUGCUUUGUUAAUCCUUUAAAUAAACUGGAGCUCACAAUGUGUCCCUUUGAAGUC
rnacentral:lncRNA from 1 species